GGAGAGGUGCCCGAGAGGCCGAAGGGAACAGUUUGCUAAACUGUCGUAGGGUUAUAAGCUCUACCGCGGGUUCAAAUCCCGCCCUCUCCG
rnacentral:tRNA from 1 species